rnacentral:lncRNA from 1 species
AGGUCUCUAUAAAUUUAUGGCAUAAGGGCGCGUGCUCAAUGAAUUCAAGUGUAUGGAUGCGAUAUUCAACUUUGCAGUACAUGACACACUAUCUUUUAAUUAAGGCGUGAAGCAUUACUCCUCUGUCUUAUUGGUAGUCUUCUUAGCCUGCAUGUAAUCUUGUAAUCCUAGAAGUCUCUACCAUACCUUUAUGCAUGUGUGAACAUCUGGUUAGUAGUUCACAACCAAUGAAACAAUGUAAGCCAUUGGUGCAGAGUGAGGUAGAGCUAAAGGGAAUGGUUGGGAAACUAAUAUUUGGAGACAUGCAGGCGGGACACAGGCACACUGACACACAGGGUUAUAGGAUUAGCAGGUAUCUGGAACAACAUCACAAUCUGAGGUUGUUAGAAAAAUGAGAUUUCAAAAUAUCAAAACUCAAAACGAAUAUUUGUGUCUCUAAACAAUCUUGAAUAAAAAAUUGACAGGUACAAAAUUGUAGAUCACAUCGAGCUCUACAUUUUAGUAUAAAAUUAGUCCCCAUAAAAAAAUUAUAUGUAGAAGUUAUGAAUUUUUUUUUGUGUUAACAAUCUACCGAAAGGUUCCCACUGUAAAUGGAUUUCUGCAGUGGCUUUUUAGGAGGCUGACAUCUAACAAGCAUUUUCAGAAACAGAUUGUGGCCAUUUAGCCCCUUGACCAUUUCCAGGUAUCGUAGAUCAUUUUAACCGUCUCGAAAAAUAAAAUUUAGUAUAGUCUAGAAUUGUUUGUGUAGUAUGACCUGGCGGAUGACAUGGGGCAGAACAGGCUGCCAAAAGAAAAUAUCUCCGCUCAAAGAUCAGUCUCCCAUGUUUUAAUUCUACAGUACACAAAGUGACCUUAAUGCAUCUGUGGGUUAAUGUAGGGGAAAUACAAGCUACUGCACAAGUAGUGCACCCGACCUAUAAGGCUUCACGAACCUCCCAUUAUUUAAGGCUGAGAAUGACUUGUGUGUCUUAGAGUCCUCUUUCAGCAGCCUCUUAUAACAUGGCAAUCAAGUCUCUACUUUAAUUUUUUAACAGCUAGUUAGCAUCUCCAAACCAGUUAAAACUCAGUCAGUAGUCGGCGGAGAGAGAGAGGAGCCGGGGGGCGGGGGAGCGCCCCUGGUAAACCAGAAACUCAAAUGUGAUACAAUACUAGUCCCAGGAGGCUAGUAACACAUUUAUUACAUCAGAUAAGUUUCAGCGCAGUAGUCUCGGUAAGCGUGGACAAGGAAGGCACGCUAUGAUAAUAAGACACCAAAAUACAACAUAGGUCCAAAGGACCCAGAAACAAACGAUAUCACAAUCGAACAUCUGACGAGUCCCAAUGCCACAUGCUUAGUUGGGUGCAGACACGACUUUACUCGAACGCCACUUCGGGAUCGAAGUCCGGAUCUUCCUCUGUUUAAUAAAGCAAGGGUGAGUACAAAGUACUCAGCAAAUCCAACCUUACCCUACGGAAGGGGAUAACAAUAUAUAUGCAUA